GCUUAAAUAGUCUAAAUUAAGAUUUUAGGAUGUGGCCCUGAAGAUACUAAGUUUUAAGUC
rnacentral:tRNA from 1 species